CAACUAUACCGUGAAACUGCGAAUGGCUCAUUAAAUCAGUUAUCGUUUAUUUGAUAGUACCUUACUACUUGGAUAACCGUGGUAAUUCUAGAGCUAAUACAUGCUAAAAACCUCGACUUCGGAAGGGGUGUAUUUAUUAGAUAAAAAACCAAUGCCCUUCGGGGCUCUUUGGUGAUUCAUAAUAACUUAACGAAUCGCAUGGCCUUGUGCCGGCGAUGGUUCAUUCAAAUUUCUGCCCUAUCAACUUUCGAUGAUAAUGUAUUGGAUUAUCAUGGUUUCAACGGGUAACGGGGAAUUAGGGUUCUAUUCCGGAGAGGGAGCCUGAGAAACGGCUACCACAUCCAAGGAAGGCAGCAGGCGCGCAAAUUACCCAAUCCCGACACGGGGAGGUAGUGACAAUAAAUACUGAUACAGGGCUCUUUUGGGUCUUGUAAUUGGAAUGAGUACAAUUUAAAUCCCUUAACGAGGAACAAUUGGAGGGCAAGUCUGGUGCCAGCAGCCGCGGUAAUUCCAGCUCCAAUAGCGUAUAUUAAAGUUGUUGCAGUUAAAAAGCUCGUAGUUGAACCUUGGGCCUGGCUGGCCGGUCCGCCUCACCGCGUGCACUGGUCCGGCCGGGCCUUUCCUUCUGGGGAACCGCAUGCCCUUCACUGGGUGUGUCGGGGAUCCAGGACUUUUACUUUGAAAAAAUUAGAGUGUUCAAAGCAGGCCUAUGCUCGAAUACAUUAGCAUGGAAUAAUAGAAUAGGACGUGUGGUUCUAUUUUGUUGGUUUCUAGGACCGCCGUAAUGAUUAAUAGGGAUAGUCGGGGGCAUCAGUAUUCAAUUGUCAGAGGUGAAAUUCUUGGAUUUAUUGAAGACUAACUACUGCGAAAGCAUUUGCCAAGGAUGUUUUCAUUAAUCAGUGAACGAAAGUUAGGGGAUCGAAGACGAUCAGAUACCGUCGUAGUCUUAACCAUAAACUAUGCCGACUAGGGAUCGGGCGAUGUUAUCUUUUUGACUCGCUCGGCACCUUACGAGAAAUCAAA
rnacentral:rRNA from 1 species